GCAUAUAAGCACAUAUAGAGGCUAGUUGUUUAACUUGUUUUGAAAGUAAAAAAAAGAGUAAACGAAUAUGUUACCCUUUUCAAUGUUUUGUAUAAUUAAUAAUAGGUUAUUAUGCAAAAGCUCCAACAAACUUGACAACAACCUUCAAUGCAAGUGGAGUUACUUUAGAAUGGGAGGACACUGGGAAUAACUGUACUUCUACUGUGUAUCAAGUGAUGGUUAUUAGUUGUUCAUGUACAUCAACCAGUGUAUUGAUGUAUAAUACUAGCAACACAACCUUACAUAUAAACUCAAGUGACUUAUUAGACAAUGUAAUCUAUACAUACACUGUUAGAGGGUGGAAUGAACAGCAAAGCAACAACAGUGAACCAUUCACAAUUACUGAUACAACUAACACUAUUGAUCCUUGUAAAAAUAAUAUUUGCUGUGCUGAUGUUACACUAAAUACAGUACUGGUAUCAUCAGACACAUGCUCAAAGCAUUCAAGCCAGUACUACAACAAUUCCAUUACUGGAAAUAUACCAGUAACUGAAUCAAAGAUAGAUAACAGCGAGACCUAUUAUGUAUCAAGCACACCAACAACCAACUUUAGUCCCAGUAAUGAUCCAAUGACUAGCCAGCCACCAGGUCAUCCUGGUCAUAUCACAUGCAUUAUAAUAAGCUCAGUAUUGCCAAUAGUAGUAUUAUUAGUAUUAGUAGCAGUAGUAGUAACUAUAGUGUGUGUACGCCGCUGGUGUUGACAUGGCCAAAGACACCCACAUAAUCAAGAUGAAGAACAGUUAGAAUUAAAUUAGUUGAAUGUUGAAUGAAAUAAUUAAAUUAUAAACAUCAGAAAGAAUAAACACUUAUUACUCCUUUUUUAAAUAAUAAUAAUUUCCAUUUACAGUCCUACAGUACAAAAUUGGGUGGGUGUAGUUGAAAUGUGAUCAGUCACUAUAAUUGAUUGAAUUCACUUGUGUGAUACUCAUAUUCAUGAAGAGGGAGUGAUCCUAUUUUUGUUUGUUAUGCAUUUUAGUUGAAUUGUUAUUGUAAAUGAGAGACUCUCCUUUGCUAUUUCUACUCUACACUUGGUUAGCAGUUGGUGCUGUCACUGUCUUCAGUGAGACUGUAUGUGCUGGAAAUACAGUAAAUUGCAACUGUACCACAAAUACUGGAGCAGUAGAGUGGAACAUUAGUAAAAGAGCACUUGGAUUUUCAGAUCAGAUUUGGGAACCAGUAACAGAAGUCAAUUUCAAUAAAUCAACACCCAAUUUUGAAAAUAUAUAUGGGUAUAACUUUACAUUUGAUCAGAAUUUAAACAAUUCAGCACUCACUUUUAAUCUCAAUUCCUCUGAAGAUGUUCUCAUUGUGUGUGCUAGUGGAAAUGAGCAAGACAAUAAAGGUUCUGUCAUCAAUACUAACUCAAACACACCGACAAUAAAUUAUUUCCAAGUUGGCUCUACAAUAGAAACAUACAGUUGUAUGCUGAUUCAAAAUCAGUGUCAGUCACCAACAGGAAAUGAUGAAGAGAAUGGAGGUGGUGGCUUAAGCUCAGGAGCUGUGGCAGGCAUUGUCAUUGGAGUCAUAUUAGGAACAAUAUACAUAGU